rnacentral:tRNA from 1 species
GUCUCAGUAGCAUCGUGGUUAGUGCACAGCCCCGGAUAGGUUGAGACGCGGGUUCGAAUCUCGGCUGAGGUG